AUUGGCUAUGGUGACAUAACACCUCAUACCUACUUAGGUCGUCUCAUCGGUUCGAUUUGUGCUCUUGCUGGUGUGCUUACCAUCGCGCUGCCAGUUCCAGUAAGUUUUUAUGUCCUUU
rnacentral:sRNA from 14 species